rnacentral:rRNA from 1 species
GACUAGCGCUAGCAGCGUGUAUUAGACAUGCAAGUCGAACGAUUUAUGCCUCGCUUCGGUGGGGUAUGAAGAGUGGCGAACGGGUGAGUAAUAUGUGGAUAACCUACUCCAGAGUGGGGGAUAGCCUUGAGAAAUUGAGAGUAAUCCCGCAUGUGUUCUAAUGCUUCCUAAUGGCAUAAGAAGAAACCCCGGUUUACCGGGGGCUCAGGAAUGGGCCCACAUCCUAUCAGGUUGUUGGUGAGGUAACGGCUCACCAAGCCUACGACGGGUAGUUGACCUGAGAGGGUGAUCAACCACAUGGGAACUGAGACACGGUCCUAACUCCUACGGGAGGCAGCAGUCUAAAAAUUUGGGCAAUGGAGGAAACUCUGACCCAGCGACGCUGCGUGAGGGAUGACGGCCUUCGGGUUGUAAACCUCUGUCAGGGGGGAAGAUAAUGACGGUACCCCCAAAGGAAGCUCCGGCUAAUUCCGUGCCAGCAGCCGCGGUAAUACGGAAGGAGCGAGCGUUGUCCGGAAUCAUUGGKUKWAARGGGGGUGUAGGCGGACUUUUAAGUCGAGGAUUAAAUCUGUGAGCUCAACUCGCAAAUGCUUCUCGAUACUGAGAGUCUUGAGCAUGAGAGGGGAGAGUGGAACUCCCGGUGUAGCGGUGGAAUGCGUAGAUAUCGGGAAGAACACUCGUGGCGAAGGCGGCUCUCUGGCUCAUUGCUGACGCUGANGCCCGAAAGCUAGGGGAGCAAACAGGAUUAGAUACCCUGGUAGUCCUAGCCGUAAACGAUGAUCACUAGGUGUUCGCCAUUUAUGGGGAGUGCCGUAGCUAACGCGUUAAGUGAUCCACCUGGGAACUACGACCGCAAGGUUGAAACUCAAAGGAAUUGACGGGGGCCCGCACAAGCGGUGGAGGAUGUGGUUCAAUUCGAUGAUACGCGAAGAACCUUACCUGGGCUUGACAUGCUGGUGGUACUAACCCGAAAGGGAAGGGACCUGAAAGGGAGCCAGCACAGGUGCUGCAUGGCUGUCGUCAGCUCGUGCCGUGAGGUGUCGGAUUAAGUUCCAUAACGAGCGCAACCCCUACUCUUAGUUAUUUUCGUCUUUGACGGAGCUCUAAGGGGACUGCUGAGGUUAACUCAGAGGAAGGUGGGGAUGACGUCAAGUCCGCAUGGCCCUUAUGCCCAGGGCUACACACGUCCUACAAUGGCUGGUACAACGGGUUGCCAAACCGCGAGGUGGAGCUAAUCCCUAAAACCAGUCCCAGUCCGGAUUGGAGUCUGCAACUCGACUCCAUGAAGUUGGAAUCGCUAGUAAUCGCAGAGAAGAGCGCUGCGGUGAAUACGUUCCCGGGCCUUGUACACACCGCCUGUCAUGCCACGGAAGCUUUGAGUGCCCGAAGCCCCGCUUUGCGGGGUGAAGGUAAGCAAGGUGACUGGGGUA